rnacentral:rRNA from 1 species
GGCGUCACGAAGGCCCCACUGUCUUAAGAGGACUCUCCAUGAAAUUGAAUUCGUAGUGAAGAUGCUACGUCCAUAUUGUAAGACGAAAAGACCCCAUUGAGCUUUACUAAAGACUUGCAUGGCUCAAAAUAAUUUGACUUAAAUAAAGAGUUUAGAUAAUGUGGGACCCGUUUCUGGUUAAUGAAACACCACUCUUUUAUUUUAAGAGAGCUAACAUUACAGGGAUAGUGUAAGUUGGAUAGUUUGGUUGGGGCGACCACCUUUUAAAAGGUAACGAAGGUGAGCUUAAGGUCCGUAGUUAAUAGCCGGUGGCCUGACUGCAAGGGGGACGUCUCGAGCAGACACGUCCUUAGGGAUGUGGACUAUAGUGACCCGUCAUCUUAGUGUGGAAUAGUUGACGAUCAACGAAUAA